ensembl:misc_RNA Y_RNA Y RNA
GGCUGGUUUGAUGAUAGUGGGCUAUCAGAACUUAUUAACAUUAGUGUCAUUAAAGUUGGUAUACAACCUCCCACUGCUUAAAAAAAAUGACUGGCUUAAA